AAAAAACAUAGUUGUGUAAUUCUUUUGUCUGCAUUUCCUGAUAGAGAUACAUAUCAUAAGGGAGUGUAGCACAGUAGAAAAAGUUCAACAAUCCAUGGCCAUUUAACUGAAGAAAUCAGAAGACAUAUACAGCAUGGUCAAGAUGAUUAAUGGCUCUUUGUUGAGCAAAACAGUUGAUUCUCAGCAUAACCUUCCUCAAAUGCAGCCGGCAGUUUCACCAACCCUGGAGUACAACAGAAGAGGGCAGAGGUGAUUUAAUUCAUCACAACACAAAAUAUUUUACAUGCCAUUGUACUGACAGUCUAACACCAAUGAAUAACUUACUCUCAAUAAUCACUCUAGCAGUCCGAGCUUACUGAAAUUUGAAAAUCAUGUGCAUAAACAUAGAUGAUGAUUGCACUCAGGUAAGCUUGUGCACAAAAAACAACUUUGGAAUUAAAUACUUUUGGCAUUCAAAUCACGAUACUGCUUACCUGACCAAACAAGAUCUAAUAUAUUUUCUAUUUUCCACAUAUAUAUUUUAUAAGGGAUAAACCUCCCAUUGAGUGUUGAGGCUGACCUUGAACCUAACAUAGAGAUCACCUACAUGACAAACAUCUGAAUUUCCUUGGCCAGCACUGACACGACGAUGUUUUGGACAUCUGGUCAUGCAGAACAAGAGCAUGUGGGUAGAGAAAAUAAAGAUGUGUGUUGCUGCAGCCGUCCAUCAUGGUGAAAGAAUGGAGAUAUUAGAGGCAAAGUGAAACGGCGGCAUCUCGGUAGUCUUACCGAUAAAAAACCAGAACCAGGUAAUAACUCAAAGAAUCAAGAACCAAGAAGGCAAGUUCUCAACAUGGCAUGCAACUACUUUACAUAUAACACAAGUGCAUGUUUAGUAGUACUUGCUAAUCAAAAUCUUAGUACCAGAGCUUGAACAAGAGAGUAACAACAUGUGCAGAGCUGCCGAAAAGAGGUCACCCAACAUCUUAAAUAUCAUGUCAAAACUUGCAUAAAUUUUUCAAACUAAGUCUAACCAAUAGCAAGCUAUCAAAAAGCAGGUAGGCACACAAUUAGUUAACGGAGUCUACUAAUCCAAAAAAGCAGAAGGAACUUCUCCAUGGAGCAUACACUAUCUGCUUUCAGCUAGCCAAAAUGACAUCGAUAUUGGAAUGGAAGCAUUAAGUAAAUGCACACAUGGGUACCUGAACAACAACUCUGUAAACAUGUACAUCACUUCAAGUACCCCCAGCCUGUCCAUCGAUUUAUGCAUAUAGCCAACAUGGAUCAACUAGCUACCACGUACGGAAGUGUAAUUUGUUCGACCUCCUUCCCACGCUUACGCUUGACACGACAGACUAUCUUCGCAGAAACACUGAUCAACUAGCUGCCACAAACGGAAGCAUACUUUGCCGCAUCGCCUUCCCACGCUUACGCUUGUCGCGCACUAUCUUCACGAUACUGACAGUGAUGCUGUGGGUGCUAGAAGCAAACAGUGAGGAGCCAUCAUUCUCUGUGAACAGUAACCCGUCGGAGAGGUUGGUGCUCCUGACCUGGAAAUCAGAGGACUGCUGCUGACCCAUGGCGGUGCACCUGGAACCAAGACGGCACCUGAACCUACGCUCAGCGGUGGCAUGAGGAUCCACGCACAGGACGGAGGCAACAUUGCCGAAAGGCGGCGCCAGGGUGAAUUUCACCAGGAACAGGGGAGCGUGGUCUCGGGCGUGGAGAACCCACGUCCCUUCUUUGACAGGCAGAGUGAACUUGGCGUCGUACUUAACCUCCUUGGAUUUCCACUUGUGAUCGCCGGUGAGAUGAGCCAGGAGCUUGUCAGUUGUGCCGGCAAAGCUGCAGGCGGGUCCUGGGCAGAAACAUGGCGCGUGCGGGCACGAAUUGCGAUGAUCUUCAGCCUUGUAGUAGAGUGUCUUCACAGUGCACCCGUACACGGGAUUGGAGCAAGGAACACAGAAUGACUCCAGGAUUUUGUCGAGCGCGAUGCAUCGAUUUUAGCCACCGGUGGCCGUGCAAAUGUGGCAGCUGUCCUUGUUCGGUAGGCUGUCGUGGCAGGACGAGCAGAUUACAUGCCCAACUGUGCACUGUGUCUCAAGAAGGAAAAUGCACCAUGGUUAGAGGCCUGCUUGUGAAAAUGAUGGUUAUGCUGCAAACAUAGAUCUUCAGUUUCAGUUCAGAAGGUUGCAGGGAAACAGCAAUGAAGAACCGCGCAAACAUGAUUGACCAAUUUGUUCUUGCUGAAAAGUAAUGAUGCUGUGACAUGGAAAUGUUUUAUGCAGGCGGCAAAUUCAUUGCAUAAUCUCUUAGCAGGUGAUGCUUGACCAAAAUUUGGCCACAGAUUCCACAAAAUCAAACAGACUCAUUUUUUUCCCGGUACCUUGGGAGUUGCAGGUGAUGCUUGACCAAAAAGUUUACAGAAAGAAAAUACUAUAUAAUUGGAGAAGGAUGACUAGGUUGCAGGUCGAAUCCAUUUUCGUAGCUGUUCGAUUCAAUCAUUGGUUUGUAAUUAAGGUGCUUGAUGAAGGAUGGGGAAUGGUCUGAUUUAGGAGGGCCCUGUGGUAUUUGCAGAGCUAUAUGGAGCUGUUCACUUUUAGAGCCGAAGAGCAGUACACUUGAGUGCAAUCCUCUUGCAAUGCAAUGAGUUUGUCACUGGAUGUUGAGGAUUCAGGUAGUUGAUGAUUCAAUCAAGGAUUCAGCUUUCAGUUUGCUGGUGCCUCAUACAGUAAAUUUGACAACACAAAAAUCUGACCUCAAGGGGGGACGUAGGGUGAGAUUAUUUGGUAUAAGACACUGACGGAUCGCCUUUCCUUUACAUCUUCUGCAGCAAGAUAUGCGUGAAUGGUGAAUCAACAUGAUACUGUUGAUUUUACCUGAACUCUCUUUGCCAUCUACUGUAUGAUUUCUACCAGAACUUAUAGAUUUAUUUUACAGGCAUGGCAGGGCAUGGCAUUCGGGCAACCCAAUCUCCCAAUACAGUGGUAGACCAAACAGGGCAAACGGUGCUAUCCAACAAUCCAAUCUACCAAUCUCGUUCGAACAAGGGAAACAAAAGAGGGGAUAAACAAGAGAUGUACCUGGAGGAGCGGAG
rnacentral:lncRNA from 1 species